AAACAUCUUAAAGCGCCUGAACUAAGCUUGGACGGAAAUGCUUAGUUGACGAGGAGGAGGUUUAUCGAAGUUCGGCGGAUGCCUCCCGGCUGCACGUGCACAGCCGCAAGAAUUUCUAUCUUAAAACAGCGGGGCAACCUGCUGCACAAAGGAUAGGAACUGCACACAU
rnacentral:ncRNA from 1 species